GUGGGGAAUCUUGCGCAAUGGGCGAAAGCCUGACGCAGCCAUGCCGCGUGGAUGAUGAAGGUCUUAGGAUUGUAAAAUCCUUUCACCGGUGAAGAUAAUGACUGUAGCCGGAGAAGAAGCCCCGGCUAACUUCGUGCCAGCAGCCGCGGUAAUACGAAGGGGGCUAGCGUUGCUCGGAUUUACUGGGCGUAAAGGGCGCGUAGGCGGACAUUUAAGUCAGGGGUGAAAUCCCGGGGCUCAACCUCGGAACUGCCUUUGAUACUGGGUGUCUUGAGUAUGAGAGAGGUGUGUGGAACUCCGAGUGUAGAGGUGAAAUUCGUAGAUAUUCGGAAGAACACCAGUGGCGAAGGCGACACACUGGCUCAUUACUGACGCUGAGGCGCGAAAGCGUGGGGAGCAAACAGGAUUAGAAACCCUUGUAGUCC
rnacentral:rRNA from 1 species